CCGCCCUCAGAGACUGCAAUGUUGUGUUCUCCCAGACGCACCUGGAUUCGGCUGGAUUAGAGGAUGCAAAGUUCUGUAAUGGAAGAUCAGGAGACUCAUAAUAAACGGAAGGAGGCCUGGUACAGGUGACAGAGAUUCUGCCAAGUGAAGAGGGUGUUCCCAAGAAAGGGGGUGUUGGCACCCAAGUGGGGUGAGGAGAGCAGCCUGGUACAGGCCGUUGAAGCCCCAGCAGGUUGAGAAGGGUGUCCAUACUGGGCAGGACGUGCGCCACGUCGGGUAUCAGACGCUGGACUGAGGUGAGGAGGAUUCCAACGUGGAGAGGACUCCUUGGCACAGGCUGUUGGUUCCCAAGCAGGGUGAGGGGGGCGUGUGCCAGGGAGAGACGGUUGGGGUUGCAGUGGACAAUUGGGUCCAUACAAGGAGACUGAUCAAAUAUGUAAAUCUGUUGAGAACAGGAGCCAGUUUUCUCAGUACUGGAUAAAGGAAUUGCGAAUACAGAAAGAACACUAGAGUGAACCUUAGAGUACUGAAAUUGGAACUGGAAUUACUGGUGUAAAACUUGUGGCUUUUCAAUACAUGUACAUGGAUAGAGAGUUAAAGAUACAUGUUAAUGCGGGUGCAUUCGUGUGUGUUCCCUAGGCUCUGUCCACUGAUGAUGUAGAAGUACUGUCACCUCAAAAGCCCAGAUCUCAUGCCCAUCUCUUGUUUUCUGAACACCGUUAUCCACUUAAAGGAACCAGGGCUCUUUGGAGAAAUAGCUGAUUCCAAGAUGGGAGCAAGGAAAGCACAGGAUGAGCCUAGAAUAUAUUCUUGUGCUAUACUAUAAGGAAAUCCUCAAAUACCCAUCGUCCUGGGGGCCCUGACAACAAGGCUAGUUUAAAAAGGGAAACAAUACUUUCACUUCCAAAUCUUUGGACAAUGCUCGACAAACAUUGGAAAAUUAUCAUAACUAUCCUUUAAAAUAAAAAUUAGUACUAAUACAUAAAUAAACUUUAAAAGGGGGGCAUGCUCG